GAACCACAAGAUUAUGACCUGAGCUGAAAUCAAGAGUCGGACACUUAACCAACUGAGCCACCCAGGUGUCCCGGUUCACUCAAUUUCUUAACGCUUUUUUAUUUCCCUUCCCUUGCAGGUAACCUGGCCGUGAAUAGCAGGAGAUGCUCCCAAUGCAAGGAAGGGGGGUUGGCAGGAAGGCAGGAUUACAAGAAUCGCAUGAAAGGAGUUAUGGAUUCUCUCUGCCAGAGGCACAGAUGCACCGCAUUUUAUGUUCCACUUCCAGGACUUCACAAACCUGAAGGCCGUCCUCCACAGCCCAAGGAUAGAAGAAAGCGCUCGAUGAAACUUGGGAGAAAGAGUGUAUUUUGAUGAAGACAGAUCAGUAAAGAGUGAAGUAAGCAGCUCAGGGAAGGCAGAGGAUGAGGUGGAAAUGGUUUCGUUAGAAGUUUAGACAGAUGACACCCCGUCGUCAUUAACCCCGUUGUCAUUAACAACCCAGUCAUCAACCCACUCAGCAUGCACUGCAGUGAGUCAGUUUGCUAUGAACAGAAUUCUACUCUUUAAAUGGACACAAGGAACACAGUACGUUCUCAGUGGACUACAAGAUGUUGGCUUUCACAAAUUGCCCGGAUUUUCAGGAUCCUGGGUUAAGAGUACAGUACUUCUAUUCACGUUUUCUUCAAGAAAUUAUAGUGAUCAUUAAGGUUUUGUAAGUAAGCGUUUUUGGGAAUCCGUUAAGUGGAUAUUCUCAAAUGUGUGAGGCGUGUCCAGCAAUUUACUAGCCUGCCACCCACCAUACAGCGCCUGCAGGAAGUAGACUUCUGUCGGAGCACAGCUCUGGUCACGUCACCGGCCCCCUUUAUUAUCUGUAGUUUGCUUACACGUUUAUCAUGAAUGAAUGUUGAAUUGUGUCAGUUACCAUCGAUUGAGAUGUUUUCUCCUCUGUCCCUGAAUCAUUCUGAUCACAAAACACCACCGUGCAAACUAAAACAUAUUUCUCUCCCCGUUUAUAGUAAAAUGCUACUUCAACUCA